AUACAAACAAUUAGCCAGGCGUGGUGGCAGGCGCCUGUAGUCCCAGCUACUCGGGAGGCUGAGGCAGGAAAAUGGCGUGAACCUGGGAGGCGGAGCUUGCAGAGAGCCCAGAUCAUGCCACUGCACUCCAGCCUGGGCGACAGAGUGAGACUCCGUCUCAAAAAAAAAAAAAAAAAAAAAAAGAAAGAAAUUCACUAAGACUACACAGCAAUGUACAGUAAGUACUAAAAGAAUCGUAUAAGUAAGCAUUAGAAGGUUCACAAAAACGGAGAGUGCACAGGAAAUGAAUUGUAAACAAAGGCUUCAUGAAAGAAGGACUUGAGUUGGGUUUUAAAAGAGUUGAAGAAUAAAUCCUAUAUGCAAUGAAGAAUUGUUGAAUAUGUCCAAGUAAGACAAUGAAAUGAUUAAGUCAGUGUUUUAGAAAGAUCUAUGUAGUAGUCAGAAUUGUUCACCCUGGAUAACUUGUCUGAAAAAUUUCCCUCUUCCUCAUUUAUCCCCCACCCCUGCCAACGGUUCCUAUUUUUCUAUAAAACUUCUAUUUGUCCUUAAAAUUAAGUUUGGGUUUUAGAAAGCCUUUCUGAUCUCUCCAUGCAAUAUCAUACAAGCAUCUUCCCUUCUCCCCAUUGGGAAAGUUCUAGUACCUUGUGUUUAUUUCUGCAUAGCAGUUAUAUUAAAAUGAAUUGUUUAUCUUCCCCUCUGACCCAUAAGCUACUUGAGGUGAAGAGCUAGGCAUGUUUCCUCUCUGUGACUGCAGCAAAAAGCAUGUAUAUAAAAAAUAGUAGCUAUUCAAUGAGGAUUUGUUGCUUUAAACUGAGUAGUGGUAAUAACCUGGAUUUGUUAAAGAGGGAAAGACUAAAGCCUAAAAGAUCAGUUAAAAAACCACUGCAACAACUCGGACAUUAAGUAAAGAGUGUUUAAAGGGAGCAGCCUCACUGGGAAUAGUAAGGAACUGGUGAAAUUAUUGAAAUGUGUGACUAACUAGAUAUGGGUUAAGAAGAAAUAGGUUGUUUGGGGGUUCCAGGCUCAACUUACUAGAAAACAAGAGGGCUGUGAAUUCUUGCUGUUUUGUAGUAGUCCUUACCUGGGCACCAUGGACUUCUAGAGAGGUCUAGGAUAUACUUCCAAGGGUCCUUGAAGCCCUGAAAUUAUUUGCAAGUUUAUGCAUGUAAGGUUAUGCAUGUAUUUUCCUUGGGAGAGGCUUUAUAGUUCUCACUGAAUUUUUGGAAAUCUCGGCCUUUAAACUUGUUAAGCACUACAGUUCUAUUCAAAAGUAUAGUAUUAUCUUAAUAAUAGCCAUAGUCUUUGUGAGAGAUAUCAUUCUUUAAAAAUAUUGACUGAUGUGGCACCUCACAGUACCUUUUGUCAAUUGUUGAAACCAGAUUACUGAAAAUAAUAUUGAAGACCCAGAGCCCUGCCACUUUCUUACUAUAUAACUUUAAGCAAAUUACUUUUCUAAGAUUUUUCUUAUACUGUUAAAUGCAGUAAUGAUAACACAUGCCUCUUAGUGUUGUGAGGAUUCCAUGAGAUAAUGUGUAUACAAUUUUUAGUGCUCAAUAUUAGCUAAAUAUUAUUUGUAUUAUUACUCAUUUAAUUCUAACAGUGGCCAUAUAUUAUAAUGCCAACAUUGUAAUAGGUGGCCCCCCAUCAUAUCGCAUUAAAUUCCUCAAUCAAUUUGAUGAAGGUCUAGUUUUACAUUAAGGUUACAGACAAGAUGGAGACAGGUAAAUACCUUGCCUAUGGUCACACAGCUAAUUAAUGGCUGAGCCAAUACUAGAAGAGGUCAGCCAGACGUCUGAAAACAGGUGACUGUAGGGCAAGCAAGAGAGGGAGCACAGAACAGAACAAACAGUCAGUGAUAGGGUGAGCAGUAGGAUGAGAGAUCUGGAGUAGCCGUACCAAGGAGACUUUUCAAAAGAUGUAACACUUACCACAGGACAUAAAUGAUCAUCUUUUUGCUGGCUAGAAAUUAAUUCUAGGCUUGGCCAGCCUUGGAUCUAUAAGUGGGUGAAUGUAAAUUGUGUGUGGGUGGCAGGAAGGCAAGGAAAAUGAGACUGGAUAUGAGAAUAGAUACGUUGUGACCAGCUGCAGUAGUGAUUACAAAAUGUUCGUUUACUUUGACCUAUUGGACAUGGAUAAAAAUGGGAAUACUAGGCAUACAUUAAACAUUAUCCAGAUGUUUCAUAUGUGAAAGUAUUUUAAAUUCAGCCUGUGACGUUAAUAGAGUAUUUUAAUUAUUUUACACACACACACACACACACACACACACACACACACACAGAGGUAAUUGAUUGGAAAGUGACCAGAAUUUACUGUGUACUCACAUAACCAUCUAGGGCCACCAUUGUCAAAGAUUGUGUUGUAUUUUUCUCCUCAUGAGCAACCCUAAGAUUUGGUUUGGUUGGUUCCAGCUCUGAACAGUACAAGUGAUAUGGUUUGGAUUUAUGUCCCCACCCAAAUCUCAUGUCAAAUUGCAAUCCCCAGUGUUGGAGAUGGGGCCUGGUGGAAAGUGAUGGGAUCAUGGGGGCAAAUUUCCCCCUUCAGUGCUGUGCUCAUCGUAGAGUUCUCACGAGAUUUGGUUGUUCAAAAGUGUGUAGCCCCUGCCCCCUGUUUCUCUUCCUCCUAUUCCAGCCAUGUAAGAUGUGCCCAUUCCUCUUUGCCUUCAGCCAUGAUUGUAAGUUUCCUGAUACCUCCCUGGUAACCAACAAAUGCCAGCAUCAUGCUCCCUGUACAGCCUUUGGAACUGUGAACCAAUUAAACUUCUUUUCUUUAUAAAUUACCCAGUCUCAGGUAUUUCUUUUUUCUUUUCUUUUCUUUUCUUUUCUUUUUUUUUUUUUGAGACUCGUAUUUCUUUAUAGCAGUGUGAGAAUAGCCUAAUACACCAAGAAUGAUUCAAGCCCACUGUACCAAAGCUGGGAUUUCAGAUGAUAACACAAACCCAGAGGGAAAUUGAUCCAAGACUUUUUUUCAUUAAACAAGAACUCUGGGGAUAAGGGGAAAGGAAGGGCCAAUACCAUUCCCCAACAGGGCCUGGAGGCCAGAAGUAGGUCAUUCUUAAAACAAAAAUUGGGAUUGUUUUUCAUUUUUCUGCAGCUUUUCCCUUUGUGAGAUCUGUUUCAGCACAAUGGUUACAUUUGGGAGUGAAUUACUCUCUUUUAAACAAAUAGAUAUUAUUUGCAUAUGCUAAAAAUUCCAUUCAUGAUUUAGUUGCUAAUUGUUUAUCUAGCAUUUUGCUGCUCAUUCUUCUACUUUUGCCUGCUGUUCUUUUGACAAUUUUAGAGGAGGAUUAAGGAAAAGGGAAAAUGAACCACAACUGGGAGAAAUAUGAAGACUCAUAAACUUUGGAAGAGGGACAUUAUAUAUAUUGACCAAUAUGGUGGUGUUGAAUUACAUUUUGAUUAGAAAGUAGUGGCAGUUAGCACAUUAGCUUUGACUUCAAAUAGACCUGAGUUUAAAUCAUACCUCUGGAACCUACCUUAACCUUAAGCCUGAAAAUUAACCUCCUCAGGCUUCUAUUUUCUUAUACGUUAAUGGAAAUAAUGCCGACUUCCUUAGAUUUUUCUAAAGAUUAAAAACUAUAAUUUAUCUUAAGUACCUAACACAUGGCAGUGCUUCUUCACACCUGGCUAUUCAUGGCUCCAAUAAUUAUGGAUAAUUAGGAAUUGGCUGUAGAUUAUACAUUCAUUAGAUGGCUGAAUGUGUUUUUAUUGCUGUAGGUUUCAUUGGACUAUAUUAUGAGCAGGACUGUUACUUAAAUGACUCUCCAGUGAUAAUUAGGCAUUAUUAGAAGUUGUAAUAAGUCUUGCAGUAUUUUUGUCAUUAUCCUAAAAUUAUUGGACUAUUAUAGCCCAUUUAUAGGUAGAUUAGAACAUAUAUUCUCCACCCUUUAAAAGCCCAUACUCCAUUCAGUUUAAAGACUGUGGUAAUAAAAACAGGAAAAAAGCCAACCUCCCAAACCAUCAUGCUGCAUAUUAUCUUUCUUAGUAGGAAGUUACAAGGAAGAGGGUGAAAGCAGUUGGCAUAGAAUGAGCUAUUUUCUUUAUCAGCUGAUUUUAAUGUGCAUGUUGUGUCCAUUCCCAGGUAGAUAGGGUUCUGAAUGAGUUACCAUCUUCCAAAAAAACAUAUUGUUUUACCAAGAAAUAAUUUAGUCCCAGUAGAGUUCUGCCACAGCAUGUUCAUUGCUUUGGAGAAUUAUAAUUAAGAAGCUCAUUCAGUAUUUCCAAUUAAAACAAUGAUCUAAUUAGACUGAUUGCCCCACCUAAUUUCUAGCUCCAGAUGUGGGCCUACCUGCUGAAUGAACAAGGAUCCUUGAGCACUAGCGUAUGCAUUCUAACUGGGGAGCACAGGGGUCAAUGCCCAGAGGGCAUAGACAAAGCCCCUCAUUGGGAAUUGCCUGGAAUUUUGCUGAUGUAGGAAAUAUAUAUAGCUCCCUGUUUAAGAUUAUUACAUGUGUCUUUUCUUUCAUAAACAAAGUUUCUGAUCUGUAUUUAAAAUGCAAAUUAAUGCUUUAAGCAUCUAUGAAGUCAAUAAGUACUAGCUUCCCCCCACCCCCACUUUUAUUUAAAUGGGAAAGUGAGGUUCAGUGAUUGCUUUUGACUUGGAAUCGUGGAAGAUCAGUGGCUGAGAAAAUCUUUUGGGAUUAUCUGGUUAAGUUCCCUUUUCACAGGUGAGGCAAAUUAAGGCACAGACAGGUGAGCCAGACACUAGUCUCCUAACUUACGGCUCAGUGUUGGAAGCAG
rnacentral:lncRNA from 1 species